rnacentral:tRNA from 1 species
GCCUUUGGAGUGUAGUGGUCAGCAUGCUCGGCCCGUAUUCGAGAGAUCCGGGUUCGAGUCCCGGCGAGGGCA